AUGGAACUGGACAAUUUGGACAGAAAAACAAGAAAACUCAUGACCAUUCAUCAUUCACUGCACCCUCGCAGUGAUGUUGAACGGCUGUAUCUGCCUAGAAGAUCAGGGGGCAGAGGACUCUUACAAGUAAAACAAGCAGUCAAAGAAGAAGAACAUGCCCUGGCAGAAUAUGUAAAGCAAAGUGAAGAACCUGCUUUGAUUGAAGUCAAAAAUCAGAAACUCCUCAAAGCACAGCAGACAAAAAACCAGUACAAGAAAGCCACACUACAAACUAGAGCUGACAGCUGGCACAACAAAACAUUGCAUGGAAAGUUCCUUGACAAAAUUGAAGGAAAAGCUGAUAAGGAGAAGACCUGGCUUGCUCCUGGGCUGCAAGGAUCAGGCCUUCUGUCUCCUUCUUCAGGGUCCCAUUCGUGAGCCAUAGCCAGGUCUUCUCCUUAUCAGCUUUUCCUUCAAUUUUGUCAAGGAACUUUCCAUGCAAUGUUUUGUUGUGCCAGCUGUCAGCUCUAGUUUGUAGUGCGGUUUUCUUGUACUGAUUAUUUGUCUGCUGUGCUUUGAGGGGUUUCUGAUUUUUUGACUUCAAUCAAAGCAGGUUCUUCACUUUGCAUUAUUAUUAUUAUUAUUAUUAUUAUUAUUAUUAUUAUUAUUAUUACUACUAUUAUUUUAGCAUGCCUUGGCUACUUAUUGUUUGUUGGCAAAACAUAUAAAUAUUCCAGAGUUUUUGUUUUCAUCUAAACAAUGGGACAUGGUUUCUCCUUGUGGAUCUGUGAGCACUUGAUAACAGGAAAAUUACCCCGGGAAUUUGAUUGCAUCAUCCAUAUUGGAUCAACCUCUCACCCCCCAUCCCACCCCCCGCUCUAUCAUAUAUUCUUCCCUCUACAACCGUUCUAGGCAGCUUCUGACCAUCUUGACACCUUUCCUUCUUCCACAUCAUAAAGUACAAAUUAUCUCUGGGACUCUGCCGUAAGACUGCUCAGAGGCUGCCACUAAUGCAGACAGAGAGCUAUACUGUUCUGUGCUGUUAACAGGUUGCUCUGUGGGCGCCCAGGGCUACAGGUCUCCAGUGAGGGAGUAGUAGUUUGGGAUUCAGUUGUUUCUGUUUAUCAUUUAAUUCACGAUGGGCCCUGUCUGUUGAAGAGGAACAUUCAUAGCACAGCUCAGAAAACAAUUUUUAAAAAACCUCCACUGGGCCAUCCCACUAGCAAAACCACACAUUCAGACAAAAUAUGCAGCAAGAUUAGAGCACAAAAGGGAAGUAUGUCUCGAUAAGUAUUAAUUGAACUCAUGUAUACAUUAUGGAUUUUAAAAUGACCUAUAGAUACGUCAGGAGCCCUCGGUGGAUUACAUCCCAGCUCAAAGCAGAAAUUGUGGGAUUUUAUUCAGCUGUGUGGAAGGGGUGCUGGUGGUCACCAAGUCAGCAGGAUGAUACUUUAGUCUAGGAUAGUUGCUUUUAAGUUACAAGAGAUUCACAACCCACUGGCAUGGAGACCACCAGGGAGAAAAGGGGAGAACUUUGUACUAGAGCCUAAUUGUUGUCUAGACUAAAUUAAAACUAACAACAAUAGGAUGUGACUCUGGGGCCCUUCCACACAACCCUAUAUUCCAGAAUAUCAAGGCAGAAAAUCCCACAUUAUCUGAGUGUGGACUCAGAUAACCCAGUUUAAAGCUGGGAUUAUCUGCCAUGAUAUUCUGGAAUAUAGGGCUGUGUGGAAGGGCCCUGGGCUAAAGCAGCUCCUUUGACUCUAAGAAGACAUGUCAGAGGUCAGAUGCAUUCCUUCAUUUCUGCACACCCACACCAGAUGCUCCAGGUGUAACAUUAUCCCCUUAACAUACCCUCCAAUCUUUAACAGAUUAACGUUGGAUUAUGCAAAAUGGGGAAAGUGAUCAGUGAGGAACAACACACAAGCUAGGAGAGGCUGCAGCACUUUGCUUUUGCCUGAGUCUGAGUU
ensembl:lncRNA